AUAAAUACAUUGAAAAGAAAAGUAGGUCAGUUGAUUGAUUUAGAGAGCUCGUGAUUGGUGAAAACGAGAGAAUUAACUGAUUGAAGUGCCUCUUUGAGUAGUUUUGGUGAAUCAAGUAGCUAAAAACGAGUGAUAAUCGUUACCUUAUCAAAAGGUAGAAAGAAAGUAAGUUUCUUUUUACGAAUAAAAGUGGAACCACGUGAAAACGUCUUUUAG
rnacentral:ncRNA from 1 species